rnacentral:rRNA from 1 species
AACAAACGCUGGCGGCGUGCCUAAUACAUGCACGUCGAACGGGGAAAGCUUUCGGGUGAGUACUAGUGGCGCACGGGUGAGUAACGCGUGGAUAAUCUGCCUUAGUGUGGGGGAUCACUAGUCGAAAGAUUCGCUAAUACCGCAUAAGACCACAAGAACUGCAGUUCAAGGGGUACAAGGUUUUUCGCUCUAAGAUGGGGCCGCGGAAGAUUAGCUAGUUGGUAGGGUAACGGCAUACCAAGGCGCCGAUCUUUAACUGGUCUGAGAGGAUGAUCAGUCACACUGGAACUGAGACACGGUCCAGACUCCUACGGGAGGCAGCAGUAGGGAAUAUUGCACAAUGGAGGAAACUCUGAUGCAGCGACGCCGCGUGAGUGAUGAAGGCCUUCGGGUCGUAAAGCUCUGUCGCAGGGGAAUAACACAAUGAAGGUACCCUGUAAGAAAGGAUCGGCUAACUUCGUGCCAGCAGCCGCAGUAAAAC